AUUGAACGCUGGCGGCAGGCCUAACACAUGCAAGUCGAGCGGAUGAAGGGAGCUUGCUCCUGGAUUCAGCGGCGGACGGGUGAGUAAUGCCUAGGAAUCUGCCUGGUAGUGGGGGAUAACGUCCGGAAACGGGCGCUAAUACCGCAUACGUCCUGAGGGAGAAAGUGGGGGAUCUUCGGACCUCACGCUAUCAGAUGAGCCUAGGUCGGAUUAGCUAGUUGGUGGGGUAAAGGCCUACCAAGGCGACGAUCCGUAACUGGUCUGAGAGGAUGAUCAGUCACACUGGAGCUGAGACACGGUCCAGACUCCUACGGGAGGCAGCAGUGGGGAAUAUUGGGCAAUGGGCGAAAGCCUGAUCCAGCCAUGCCGCGUGUGUGAAGAAGGUCUUCGGAUUGUAAAGCACUUUAAGUUGGGAGGAAGGGCAGUAAGUUAAUACCUUGCUGUUUUGACGUUACCAACAGAAUAAGCACCGGCUAACUUCGUG
rnacentral:rRNA from 1 species